GCGCGUAGGCGGGAUGGCAAGUCGGUCGUGAAAUCCUUCGGCUCAACCGAAGAACGUCGGCCGAUACUGCCGUUCUUGAGGGAUGCAGAGGAGACUGGAAUUCCCGGUGUAGCGGUGAAAUGUGUAGAGAUCGGGAGGAACACCGGUGGCGAAGGCGGGUCUCUGGGCAUCUCCUGACGCUGAGGCGCGAAAGCGUGGGGAGCAAACGGGAUUAGAUACCCCGGUAGUCCACGCCAUAAACGAUGACGACUAGGUGUGGGGUGGUUCAGUCCACUCCGUGCCGCAGCUAACGCAUUAAGUCGUCCGCCUGGGGAGUACGGCCGCAAGGUUGAA
rnacentral:rRNA from 1 species